CAACUAUGUUAAACGCGUGAAACAAACAUAAGAAAUACAUUUUAAUUAAGGCAACCCCCUGCUGCAAGUAUAUUGCUACCGCUAAUAAAUCAUAUUGCAUUAUGACUUAUGCAAAAAUUGUCUGGAAUUUAUUUUAUGCCCGGGAAUAAAUCAAUGAUAAAAAUGGCUUAAACCGACUUACGGCUGCCAAUGAAUUUGGAGGGAAGAAUUAAUUAUAGCCGAAUAGCAGGAAAGCAGAAUCAUCAAUCGUUUGAGCGUCCAUUUGAUGUAAUAGAGUUUGAAUAAGUUAUCUUAGCUGUGAUUGUGAUCAUGGCAUAAAAGCAAUUGUUCGCCACACUUCUAAAUAGAAGACAAACGUCAUUUUGGCAUAUAAUAAUGGAUAAUAGGAUGGUAGAUUGGGAUGUGUAUUAACUCGUUUAAACACAUAAUAUUGAUAUAUUGUUGUAAGUAAAGAGAACGGAACAAGCAAAUCGAUAUGAUAUGUCUAUCCAUAUUUACCACUUGUUGUUAGUUGUCUAUCUCUAGAUAAUUACUUUAAAGGUAAAUCGUCGUUUCGAUAUCUCCCAUUUAACCGAAAUUUUUUAUGUAAUGCACUUGUUGGUUGAAAUAAUUCAUUAUUAUGCGUAUGUA